rnacentral:rRNA from 1 species
CCCUUAGAUGUUCUGGGCCGCACGCGCGCUACACUGAUGCAUUCAACGAGCCUAUCCUUGACCGACAGGUCCGGGUAAUCUUUGAAUCUGCGUCGUGACGGGGAUAGAUUAUUGCAAUUAUUAAUCUUCAACGAGGAAUGCCUAGUAGGCGCAAGUCAUCAGCUUGCGUCGAUUACGUCCCUGCCCUUUGUACACACCGCCCGUCGCUCCUACCGAUUGGGUGUGCUGGUGAAAUGUUCGGAUCGGCCGUUUGUCGCGGUUUCCGCGUCAUGUGGCUGAGAAGUUCAUUAAACCCUCCCACCUAGAGGAAGGAGAAGUCGUAACA